AGAGUUUGAUCAUGGCUCAGAUUGAACGCUGGCGGUAUGCUUAACACAUGCAAGUCGAACGGUAACAGGCCUUCGGGCGCUGACGAGUGGCGGACGGGUGAGUAACGCGUAGGAUCUGCCUCAUAGUGGGGGACAACGUGGGGAAACUCACGCUAAUACCGCAUACGCCCUACGGGGGAAAGCGGGGGAUCUUCGGACCUCGCGCUAUGAGAUGAGCCUGCGUUAGAUUAGCUAGUUGGUAGGGUAAAGGCCUACCAAGGCGACGAUCUAUAGCUGGUCUGAGAGGACGAUCAGCCACACUGGGACUGAGACACGGCCCAGACUCCUACGGGAGGCAGCAGUGGGGAAUAUUGGACAAUGGGCGCAAGCCUGAUCCAGCAAUACCGCGUGUGUGAAGAAGGCCUAGGGUUGUAAAGCACUUUCAAUUGGGAGGAAAACCUGCCGGUCAAUACCCGGCAGCUUGACAUUACCUUUAGAAGAAGCACCGGCUAACUCCGUG
rnacentral:rRNA from 1 species